GCUUUCUACAGGCUUAACACAUGCAAGUCGAGGGGCAGCAUGGUCUUAGCUUGCUAAGGCCGAUGGCGACCGGCGCACGGGUGAGUAACACGUAUCCAACCUGCCGUCUACUCUUGGACAGCCUUCUGAAAGGAAGAUUAAUACAAGAUGGCAUCAUGAGUCCACAUGUUCACAUGAUUAAAGGUAUUCCGGUAGACGAUGGGGAUGCGUUCCAUUAGAUAGUAGGCGGGGUAACGGCCCACCUAGUCUUCGAUGGAUAGGGGUUCUGAGAGGAAGGUCCCCCACAUUGGAACUGAGACACGGUCCAAACUCCUACGGGAGGCAGCAGUGAGGAAUAUUGGUCAAUGGGCGAGAGCCUGAACCAGCCAAGUAGCGUGAAGGAUGACUGCCCUAUGGGUUGUAAACUUCUUUUAUAAAGGAAUAAAGUCGGGUAUGCAUACCCGUUUGCAUGUACUUUAUGAAUAAGGAUCGGCUAACUCCGUGCCAGCAGCCGCGGUAAUACGGAGGAUCCGAGCGUUAUCCGGAUUUAUUGGGUUUAAAGGGAGCGUAGAUGGAUGUUUAAGUCAGUUGUGAAAGUUUGCGGCUCAACCGUAAAAUUGCAGUUGAUACUGGAUAUCUUGAGUGCAGUUGAGGCAGGCGGAAUUCGUGGUGUAGCGGUGAAAUGCUUAGAUAUCACGAAGAACUCCGAUUGCGAAGGCAGCCUGCUAAGCUGCAACUGACAUUGAGGCUCGAAAGUGUGGGUAUCAAACAGGAUUAGAUACCCUGGUAGUCCACACGGUAAACGAUGAAUACUCGCUGUUUGCGAUAUACUGCAAGCGGCCAAGCGAAAGCGUUAAGUAUUCCACCUGGGGAGUACGCCGGCAACGGUGAAACUCAAAGGAAUUGACGGGGGCCCGCACAAGCGGAGGAACAUGUGGUUUAAUUCGAUGGUACGCGAGGAACCUUACCCGGGCUUAAAUUGCAGAUGAAUUACGGUGAAAGCCGUAAGCCGCAAGGCAUCUGUGAAGGUGCUGCAUGGUUGUCGUCAGCUCGUGCCGUGAGGUGUCGGCUUAAGUGCCAUAACGAGCGCAACCCUUGUUGUCAGUUACUAACAGGUUCCGCUGAGGACUCUGACAAGACUGCCAUCGUAAGAUGUGAGGAAGGUGGGGAUGACGUCAAAUCAGCACGGCCCUUACGUCCGGGGCUACACACGUGUUACAAUGGGGGGUACAGAGGGCCGCUACCACGCGAGUGGAUGCCAAUCCCCAAAACCUCUCUCAGUUCGGACUGGAGUCUGCAACCCGACUCCACGAAGCUGGAUUCGCUAGUAAUCGCGCAUCAGCCACGGCGCGGUGAAUACGUUCCCGGGCCUUGUACACACCGCCCGUCAAGCCAUGGGAGCCGGGGGUACCUGAAGUGCGUAACCGCGAGGAGCGCCCUAGGGUAAAACUGGUGACUGGGGCUAAG
rnacentral:rRNA from 1 species